CAGUAGCCGCGGUAAUGCGUAGGUGGCAAGCGUUGUCCGGAAUUAUUGGGCGUAAAGGGCUCGCAGGCGGUUUCUUAAGUCUGAUGUGAAAGCCCCCGGCUCAACCGGGGAGGGUCAUUGGAAACUGGGAAACUUGAGUGCAGAAGAGGAGAGUGGAAUUCCACGUGUAGCGGUGAAAUGCGUAGAGAUGUGGAGGAACACCAGUGGCGAAGGCGACUCUCUGGUCUGUAACUGACGCUGAGGAGCGAAAGCGUGGGGAGCGAACAGGAUUAGAUACCCGAGUAGUCCCUGUCUCUUAUAC
rnacentral:rRNA from 1 species